AUGCACUGGCUGUCUUGGGAAAAACUUGCAUCUCCAAAAGUACGUGGUGGAAUGGGUUUUCGUGAUCUCAAGCUAUUUAAUCUUGCGCUCUUGGGCAAACACGGAUGGAGAUUCAUCACAAAUCCUACUUCACUAUGUGCGCGGGUCAUGAAGGGACGUUAUUUCCCUGAUUCUGAAUUUAUGGAGGCUACUGUUCCGCAAUCAGCUUCGGCCAUUUGGCGAGCUAUUGUGGCAGGAAGAGGAGCGCUUCAAACAGAGCUGAUAAAGAGGGUGGGGGCGGGAGCUCUAUUUCCAUUUGGAACGAUCAAUGGAUACCCAGCCUUUCCACUCUUGCCCCAACGGUCAUGCCAGGAGGUACCACACUGGAUAUUGUUGAUGAUCUCAUUGACACUGAUAAUUGGACAUGGCGGCGGGAGCUAA
rnacentral:rRNA from 1 species